GGAGAGGGGGCUACGGCAGGUCAGUAUGCCCCGAAACCCCUGGGCCACACGCGGGCUGCAAUGGUAGGGACAGAGGGUGUCCAACUCCGAAAGGAGGAGGUAAACCCUAAACCCUACCCCAGUUGUGAUUGAGGGUUGCAACCCACCCUCAUGAAUAUGGAAUCCCUAGUAACCGCGUGUCACCAUCGCGCGGUGAAUACGUCCCUGCUCCU
rnacentral:rRNA from 1 species